rnacentral:rRNA from 1 species
GACGUAGGGUGCGAGCGUUGUCCGGAUUUAUUGGGCGUAAAGAGCUCGUAGGCGGCUCGUCGCGUCGACCGUGAAAACCCGCGGCUUAACUGCGGGCUUGCGGUUGAUACGGGCGGGCUAGAGUUCGGUAGGGGAGACUGGAAUUCCUGGUGUAGCGGUGAAAUGCGCAGAUAUCAGGAGGAACACCGGUGGCGAAGGCGGGUCUCUGGGCCGAUACUGACGUGAGGAGCGAAAGCGUGGGGAGCGAACAGG